rnacentral:rRNA from 1 species
UGGGGAAUAUUGGACAAUGGGGGCAACCUUGAUCCAGCCAUGCCGCGUGAGUGAAGAAGGCCUUAGGGUUGUAAAGCUCUUUCAGUCGUGACGAUAAUGACAGUACCUGGAGAAUAAGCUCCGGCUAACUCCGUGCCAGCAGCCGCGGUAAUACGGAGGGAGCUAGCGUUGUUCGGAAUUACUGGGCGUAAAGCGCGCGUAGGCGGUUUUUCAAGUCAGGGGUGAAAUCCCGGAGCUCAACUCCGGAACUGCCCUUGAAACUGGAUGACUAGAAUCCUGGAGAGGCGAGUGGAAUUCCGAGUGUAGAGGUGAAAUUCGUAGAUAUUCGGAAGAACACCAGUGGCGAAGGCGACUCGCUGGACAGGUAUUGACGCUGAGGUGCGAAAGCGUGGGGAGCAAACAGGAUUAGAUACC